rfam:TPA: Bos taurus chromosome 19, whole genome shotgun sequence.
UCCCUGGUGGUCCAAUGGCUAAGACUCUGAGCUCCCGAUGCAGGACACCAGGGUUCGAUCCCUGGUCAGGGAA